GGAAGGAUCAUUAGCAAACACGAUGGCAACCCUUACGGGCCCAUUUAAAUAGUCAUCAAUGCCCCUAAAAAGGCAGUUCUAGAGCCACAGGGUUUCCUAGGCUCGUUGUAUUAUGCGUAUUUAAAAAAAUUAUACAAGGUAUGGCGGUGGAUGAAUCGGUUCAGAUAGCGAUGAAGAUCGUAGCAAAAUGCGUUAAUAAGUGCGAACUGCAGUACACUGCGAGUACUUCAUCAUUGAAUGCACGCUGCACCUACCGGGCUUGCCUGGUAGGUAUGUUUGUUUGAGUUGCGACAAGAUACAAAUUAAUCCCUACGGGGGUAUUGGCAGGCUUGAGAGUGAGACCCAAGCUGUUUAAACUCGUGUACAGGAGCCUCGAUGGUCCUCCGAAAGGAUGCGGCCGCUUGGUAGCCCUGCGCGCAGCCCGCUAGUGGUAAUAACUCCGUUCGAAUGAAAGGAGACGGUUAGCUAGGGGGUGGUCAAAAGACUACUUUUUAACAAAUUCGCACUCAAAUCAAGCAUGACUACCCUUGGAAUUUAAGCAUAUAAUUACGGGGAGGAAAAGAAACUAACAAGGAUUCGCCUAGUAACUGCGAGUGAAGAGCGAAGAGCCCAUCCUGAAUCCUAGCUAUUAACUUAGUAAUGGAGUUGUAGGAUAAGGUCGAUCUUUUUGGGGCGUUAGGCGGUUCGAAGUUCGCUGGAAAGCGAUCCCACAGAGGGUGAAAGGCCUGUAGGACUGUCUGACGUGUCAUUAUAAAGGUUGCACCAUGAGUCGUACUUUUUGAGAGUAAAGUACUAAGCGGUGAUAUGCAUCAUCGAAGGCUAGAAUAUUGAUCUGAAACCGAUAGCAAACAAGUAGCGUGAGCGAAAUUUGAAAAGAACUUUGGAAAGAGAGUUAAAAGUACCUGAAACCGCCAUAUCGAAAGGAUUGAACUGAGCACCGGGUGACGUAACAAAUUCAAGUUCCUGAAAGUCUCGAGUUGGUGGAUCACGGUUGUGAUGAUCGGUGAAGCUGGCGAAGGGAUUGUAGGGGAUUGCACUUUUGUUGCGUCUUGGCACUACCAUCCUCGUACUAGGCAGAAGCUAAUAUUCACGGUAGCAAUUAAUCUUGUGAAGGAGUGUUGUGAUGGCUAGUAUGGGGGUGAGGGACUCGAAAGAGUACUAGUGGGCGGCUUCCUUGGGCCAAGCUCCAGGUGACUGCGGCGUGUGACUCAGUUUACUGGGUUGUACAAUGUAAGACCUACGAGUCGAAACCCUGAAGCCCGCUUAGGUAGUGUAAGCGAAGUUGAAUCUCCCGUCUUGAAACACGGACCAAGGAGUCUAAUUCUAGUGCAAGUCGAUGGCUUUAAAAGCUGGUUGGCGAAAUGAAAGUGAUACCUCUCAAGGCAUUAGCCCGCAGGAGGAACCUACCGUCGCUUCGCGCUUCGGUUUGAGUUAGAGCACUUGGAUUAGGACCCGAAAGAUAGCGAACUUUGCUUGCACAGAUUGAAGGCAGGGGAAACCCUGCUGGAGGAUCGUAGCGUUGUUGACGUGCAAAUCACUCGUCAGAUGUGAGUAAAGCGGCGAAAGACUAAUCGAGCUGUCUAGUAGCUGGUUCCGUC
rnacentral:misc_RNA from 1 species